CAAGCUUAUGAAAUAUGGAAAGUAAUCAUUAAUGAACAAAAUAAUAUUAGAAUUGUGCACUUUGUGCUAAGUCAAUUUUAUCUGCCCAAAUUGCCCUCAAUGUCUUCUACAUUAGCAACCAAAUAACCUCCACGUCAUACUUAAAUAAAAAAAAAUGUGAACCUUGACAAUUGCAGAAAAAAUCACUCGACCCGACUUUGGUUGUCCCAUUCUCUCUCUCUCUCUCUCUCUCUCUCAUUUUAGCAAAAAAACCCUAAGUCGAUCGACAUCUAACUUUCUUAUCUGAAACUUUCGUAGCCCUAAAUAUGCAUUUUAGUUUGUCAACAACCAAAUAUGAGAUUUUCCCUAAGCUAGAAUCUCAAAAACUUGCCAUUUCAGAAGGUCAUUUGAAAUCUGAAUUGGCCAAAACCUUCACAUCUAUCAAACCGAAUUGAUACCCAGACUGAAAUUUCCUUUUUCUUCGUCAUCUCAAAGUUUGGGAAUAUUUCUCUCCUUCGUCUUCAUGUCCGCAGCCAGUUGGAGCGGAGACCAUGUUUAAAUUUUCAAAAUUUCACACAUUUCAAAUAAGAAACCGUGAAUCGAAAAUCGUGUUUAAAUUUUCAAAAGUUGACACAUUUAUGAGAAGAAACCGUGAAUCGAAUACCUCAAUCUACAUUUUUCUUUGUUGUGCAGUUUCUGAAAAAGCAAAUGAAGCACUUCAUGGUAACAACGUCUAGUUAAAAAGAGGGUUUGAGGAGGCAACAAUGUGAUUCAAAUUCCGGUUCAACUGAGUGAACCCGAAUGAAAAGGAAAAGUGUGAAAUAUUGGCUUCAUGAAGAAGAAAUCUCCUAUUCGUUUGAUUAGGUUGCAUUUUGGCCUAACCCCCAUUGAAAAUCUUAAGUGGUGAGGCGAUAACUUCACGACAGGUGGAUUUUGGACCGCAAGCUUGCAGGCUCGAUCCCUGUCUUGUUGAGUAUUUGGACAUUGGUGUAUUUGGAAAUGUGAAUGUUGCACCAAAGGUAACUUCCAUGAUGUGUUACAAUGGUUAUUGUUAGAUAGAAUGAAGAAAAUAUGAUACUCUUUUGUUUUUGUUGUGGCA